AGGGCUUAAGGCUACAACAGCAAGAAUUGCUAAAGCCUGUCCCUGCAUAGUGUUGCCUAUAGUUUAGGAUGCCUCAGAGAAUGGGGAGAAAAAAGGACAACUGCAGCCUAAAUCUUCCACUCUGAGUAAGUACCAAAAACAACUACCCGAAUUAAGGCCAUCUGGAACACUUAGUCCAGGUGGUGAAAGCAGAGAGCUAAUGAGGCCAACGCUGUGGUUCAUACUUAUGUAAGGGCCAAGCAAACUCAGACAAAGAAAGCACUGUGCCCCAGCCACAGGCAGAACCCGGCCCACCAGCUGUCUCACAAAUCAAACCCGUGGUCACCCAGAGGAUGAGAGAGGCACAUACAGAGGGAGAUGACUCAGUGCUCACUCUGCCUCAUUCCAAGAAAAAUGCAAAGGAAUACCUCCUACUGAUAUUGGAUAAGAUGUGCUCUGCAGAGAAGAAGCCUAGUCCACCUGUCCACCCCUGCCUGGUAACAAGAUGCAGAAAGGUGAAAUAAGUAAACUCCAUUUCCUUCAAGCCACAGCUCAAAAGCCACCUUCUCGGAGGCCUGCUCUGAGACCAGAACGGCAGGUGAGACCUACACCUUCUCCCAUAGUAACGUGCCCAGCCAACAACAUCAGGUACAGAAGAGUGAGCAGUAUUUGCUUUCCUAACUUCCCACUCAACUGUGACUCCCCAAGGGAAGGGGCUGUGUUUCUCAAUCCUUUCCCCCAGGACCCAAGACAAGCUUGAAAAGACCAUCAGUAUGGGAACAUUGGUAUGGAUGCUAGACAUGGCCUAUGCCCUUGAGGAUUUUGGAAUCUCAAGACCGUCACCUCCAUUCUUGAACACCAUAAACUGCUCCCAGGAGCAAAUGCCAGCAGAUGACAGCAGCAGACACCAUCUAUUGGGCUGUCCUCAUGUGCAAGCAUAACUCUGAAAAACAUUUGAUUAUCAGACCCUCUCCACAACUCCACGAAGCCAGCAGUGCCAUCCUGCUUGCACAACUGUGGAAGCAGCCUUAGAGAUAUUCAGGAACUUGUUUAAGGUUACACAGCUUGAGAGUGGCCAAUGCAGGGAUUGACCCUAGUGCUCUCAACCACACCAAAUACUGCCUCCCACGAGAGGAGAAGCAAGAACUCAAAGCAACUUGGUUGGAGCUGGAGGCCAUUGUUCUAAGUGAAGUAACUCAGGAAUGGAAAACCAAAUAUCCUAUGUUCUCACUUAUGAGUAGGAGGCUCCCAGUGCUAAUAUCCAAGUCUUCCGAUUCCUAGCUUGGACUCUUUCUUCACAAGAAGCAAAGGAAAAACACACUUAAAAGUACCAGGUUCCACAUCUAUGAAGCUCCCCAGGAGGAGAAGGUAGAAACCUCUGACAACAGUGGACAUGUGGACGCUUAGGAACCAGCACCUCAAAGUCAUGGCCUCAGGAGCCCCAGAAAGGACCACGGAGGCCAAGAGGAGCGUGGAGAGAUGCACACUGUCAUCGGUC
ensembl:lncRNA novel transcript, antisense to HHAT